UAUUUCCGCCGCCACGCCACGCGCACUGGGCGAAGGACAAGGCUCCGGCUGCCGCCAUCGCCUCUGCCCCGGCUAUAAAGCCGCGCCCUUUGGCCGGUCCGCUCCUCCUCCUCCUCUCUUCCUCUGCGCCGCGCCUCUCGCCUCCUCGCCGCGCUCCGCCCGGUCCGCUCCUCCUCCUCUUGGUCCGGGCGGUGCCUCUCUCCUCCGACCUCCCCGCCGCGCUCCGCCCGGUCCGCUCCUCCUCCUCUUGGUCCGGGCGGUGCCUCUCUCCUCCGACCUCCCCGCCGCGCUCCGGCGGUCCGCUGCUCCUCCACCCUUCGUCCGGGCCGUGCGUCUGCCCUCCUCGAGCCGGGUUUCAUCUUGCUCGUCCUCCUCGAUCGAUUUGCCCGUCUAGAAUCGCGUCCGGAUUUGAUUUUGCUCGUCGUUGCCGUCGCCGGUUUAGAUAGAUAGAGAAUCCAGCCUGAUUUGAUUUUGCUCGUUCUCGCCGUCGUCCGUCUAGAACCGCGCCCGAUUUGAUUUUGCUCGUGCUCAUUUCGUCAGUUUAGAGUCGCUUCCGAGUUGAUUUUGCGCUUCCCCGCCGUCGUCGGUUUAGAGUCGCUUCUGAUUUGGUUCUGCUCGUCCUCGCCGUCGUCCGUUUUCGUUUUGCUCGUCCUCGCCGUCGACCCGAUGCGCUUGCGUGUUCUUGGCCCGUCUCGUCGAGGGUCUCCCGUCUGGUUCGCGAUUGAGAAAUUUCUGCGUGCGCUUCUGUUAUCUGAGAGACGCUUUGGAUCCCGCGUUUCGUGUUCGUGUCGCCGCGAGCGUUACAGGAACGGUCGGGUCUUGGUUUUGAAGUUGGGUUCCGGCCGUAGAUGGAGAGACGGUGUCAGUUUGGCGUGCUAGUUCAGAUCGGUUCCUAGGCUCCUGCGUUGUUCGUCGGUUGUUGUCUGAUCUCAAACGGCUAGCUUGUUCGUGUUAGCCUAGAUCCUCUGGUUCCUAUGUCGAUUCUGAUUGUACCAGCUAGCUUGUUUCACUUUCGUCAGGCUAGAUGCAGGGGUGAUAUUGUUCUGAUGGGUGUUAAUUUCUGUUCUUUUCAAUUCAAUUGGUUGGUUACUUCCUAUCAUGCUCUGUUUAUGUUCCCAUAUAUGCCGAUGUGUGUUCAGGUGUGCCAUUUCGAGCAGGCAGGCAUAGCAGAAAGUUUUAAAAGAGUGCACAUCAUGUGGCUUGCUGCUUGACUAAUUGAACACCUGCUGCUGCUACUGUAGGACAAGGUUUCCUUCUUUUAUUCCUUCUGUCGCUAUUUCCAUUUUCAUAUAGGAGUGCACUAGAUGAAUUGCUGCUAGCCCCUUAGACUUCGUUCUGAUUGCAUAGCAUUACUCCAGAAUUUUGUCAUUGCACACCUGCGCAUAUAAUUCUGCUAUGAGCAUAACUUCCAGAAUUUAUUUAUCUGUGAAAGCACCUUCAUCACAUGUUUUCUAUCAAUGUUGCUCAUGUCCCUUUUGUUUGUCCUGUUAAAUUUUAUGGCAUCAACUUGGAGCAAAUUUUGUACUCAUUGGUUAAAAUAUCAAGAAUGCUGGUAUUUGUCGCUAUGUAAGCCAUGCACUUGGGAAGCCUGGGCGUGAUUAGGAUUUGGAUUGCAUAUAGAUUUUAUGCUAUGCUUGUUUAUAACCUGGUUGUGACCUAAUAUAGUGUAAAUUUGCUAUUUUUUUAAUUUAUUUUAUGUUCAACGCAAGUAGGUUUUGUUUGUAAGUGGUAUUUCUUUUGCGUGUGCAUGAACAUUCAUGCUGUCAAUUUUUCUUAUCAUAAUCGUUUACCAUGGUGUUCGACAAUACAUUUCUACUGUUCUUUGUUCCCUUUUGAGGUUCACUGACUCAAUUAUGCAUGAGAUAUGAUAUCAAUUACUGCUGUCCAGUCACUGAAAUAAUGCUUUUCUUGCUUUGCCUAGACUUUGUGACAAGAAUAAGCAUGCGUCUCUGUGCCUACAAACUUGUGGGUAGUGAUGAUGAUCUAACUAGCUUCCUGUUUUCAGGAAUGAAGAUCUGAAUUACCCUCUUCCCUCUACAGAAAUCAGUUUACUCAUUCAGUUUCUUGAACUUCUUUAUAGCUUUCUAAGUUUACUUCGGCCUUGCAUGUAUUAGCUCUGUUUGUACCCUUAUCUAUGUCUGUUUCUUUGUGUGUUUCUUGUGUGCAAGCGAUCCAUUGUGUGUGUCUGACUGUGUGUGUGAUGUGCCCCUAUCUAUGAUGUUUCUUUGUCUGUUUCAUGUGUGCAAGUGCUGCAUUAUCUGUGUGUGACUAUGUUUGACUGCUUGGAUGGGGUGAUUCUGAUUGUGUUACUGCUUAUAUGGUCUGUCCAAUUGGUUUCUUAUUCAUGCUUUGCUUGUGUUCCAAUGUCGUCUCCCCAUAUAUGGGGAUGUGUUCAGGGAUGCAAACCAUUUAGGCCGUUUCGAGCAGGCAGCGAUCCAGAGAUGUGCGCUGGUCAGGCUUCUCUCCUGCUGAUAGAUGAUGAUAGGCUGAGCAGAAAAGUUUGACUCUUGUAACACUCAUUUGCUUGUCUUACACUCCUUUGUGUGGCCGAUUUGGCAUCCAAUGCAUCUCAUGCCUAUCUUGUAUAUCUCACUCACUCAUCACAGCAUCCUUUUCCCUGUUUUUGUUCCUUUUUUUCUUAUCAUAAUAAUCAUGUAUACCGUGGUGUUUGACAAAACAUUUUUUGUGAUAUGUUAUGUCUUAUGUGGAUAUCAUAUUCUUUUUUUGUAUUACUGCUGUCCAUUCACUGGAAUAAUGCUUUUCUAAGUAUUUCAGGCAGGAUAUAGAAAAAUGUCACAUUUGCUCUUCCUUGUGUUGCUAAGGACACUGAUGGGUGGGGUUUGCUUACAGCGCAGGACCGAUAAUUCUGAUAGUAUGCUGAUAGUAUGCCAAGGACUGCUCAGGGUUCCUAUCGCUUUCUGUUUUACCAACUAAGGUAAUCGAAUUUUGAUCUUCAGCUUGCAAAUUUAUCACCUUAUGGGAGGGAAAGGUUUGCAUGUACAUGAGCUGUGAUUAUCUACAUAUAUACUUGAAUUGCUUUGGAUUUGUUGGACUGCUAUUCUACAUGAUGUUCUCCAUGAUUCACUUGAUCUGUUAAUUUGAAUAUUUUCCUGGUGAGUUCUUUAGGUUCAUCUUGUGACACAAAAUACAAUUUUGGUACGUGCAGACUCUGAAAUUUGGUGAUAAAGAAAAAGGUACCUCCUAAUUUGCUCUCUGGCUCUCUUACACUUGUCACUUGUCUUUGUUUAUAUAGCAGUAGUGGCCUCCUGGCUUGUAGUUGGGUAAUGCAGAGAGAGGUUUGGAAUUGAAGAACUAAAAUAAUGCAGAGUCGAAGGUUUUGAAUGGGAAGCUUGAACAAAGAGUUUACUUUUUCUCAUGUCUUUGAUUAGUUUCAUCCUAUCUAUGUCUGUUUCUUGUGUGCAAGCACUCCAUUGUGUCUGUGUGACUGAUUGUGUGUGUUUCUUGUGUGCAAGCGCUCCAUUGUGUGUGUGCGUGUGUGUUGACUGUGUCUGUGUGUCAUUUUAUGACUGACUGUGUAUUGAUGUGACUCUGUGUGUGUGUGUGUGUGUGUUGACUGUGACUGUGUGUCAUUGUGCAAGCGCUCCAUAACUACCUAUUGGCACCUGAUAAUGCAUGGAAAUUUCUAUAAGGUCAUGGGCAUGUAAUUUUAUGACCUACAUACCUCUGUAGUUGGGUAGUAUCAUUGCCCUUUGGACACUCUUCAAUGCAUUGCUGUAUAUUUUCCUGCCACAAGUAUGAUGUUUGUGCUCAGAAUGAUGUAUAUGUAGAAUCCAGGGUGGAUGGAGGUUUUCAUGAUGGCUAAUUUGAUUUGUUAUGGUUUUGAUGGUGUGCUUCUUGUGUUUGAACUGAAGCCGUGGAUCACUCAUCAACCUGUCUGUGUUUGUAUGGUAACCCCUCUCGAAUUUAACUCCUUUCAAGUUUGUACACAAUAUUUAUGCAUAUCCCACAUUUUAGCUAGUUAUAUAGUAAUACCAUGCUUCUUUGGAUGUUGUUCUAUAUAUGCAAGUGUGGUGAGCUCACAUAUUGUGUCAGUAUCUACCUACGCAGCUGAAUUAUAAUUAUUUCCGGAUAGGACAGAGGUGCAAUGUUUACAUCCAUGGCAGAAGGUUCUUUAACACUGAACUCAUCAAAGGUCCUUGGACUCAAGAGGAAGAUGACAGAAUUAUUGACCUUGUAAACAAGUAUGGACUAACAAAAUGGUCGCAUUGCAAGGUCAGCUACCAGAACUUCCUACUGCUGAUCCUGGGAUGUUUCCGAACAUGCUCCCGAACAUGUUCAAUUUAUCCGCUCUAGGACAGCCACAGCCAUGACACAGUAGGUUACUCGGCAUUGUCAGCGUGUUUACUUUGGUGGACUUCCCCCGAUCGCUAAUGAACAGACGGUUGCUCUAUUCUUCAAAUCAAGUUAUGGCUGCUAUCGGGGGAAACACAUUUGGUCUAGGUGGCAUAAUCAUCUGAAUCCAAACAUAUGGAACGAUGCUUGGACUACUGAGGAGGAACAUGCACUGAUUAAUGCCAUCAGGUACUGUAUUUGGGAAUAAAUGAGCAGAAAUAGCAAAAGUUAUUCCUGGAAGGUACUGCAUGCCAAACAACUUACAUCAUGGGUCUUGCUUGUAGUAUUAGCUUUCUGUCUGUGCCCUUUCUGUCUCUUGUGUGUGUGACUGACUGUGUGUGACUGUGACUGACUUUGUGUGACUCUUACUGUGUGUGUGUGACUGAAUCUGUGUGUGACUGUGACUCUCUGUGUGACCGACUGUGUGUGUGUGUUUGAAUUAAUAAUGCAUUUGCUUGAUGGUGUGUGCUGUAUGCUUGCUUGAUGGUGUGUGCUGUAUGCUUUUCUUGAUGGUGUGUCCUGAAUGCUUUGCUUGAAUGGUUGGUGUUGUAUGUUUUGUUUGU